rnacentral:rRNA from 1 species
AUGGCAGGUCGCCCGUUGCUGGCCCCGGCCGUCACGCUGCGUCCUCCUGGACCAGCGUUGGGCUCGUGGGCCUCGCUAUACGUCGGCGACCUCGAUGAUGGCGUGGCGGAGGGGCACCUCUAUGCCCUGUUCUGCAAGGUGGGGCCCGUGGCGUCCCUCCGUAUAUGCCGGGACGUCACUGGCAGGUCACUUGGGUACGCCUAUGUGAUUUUCUACAGUCGUGAGGACGCCAAACAUGCAUUAGACUCUUUAAAUUUUACCCCUGCCAACGGGAAGCAUAUUCGAGUUAUGUUCUCGAAUAGGGACCCAACGCUGCGAUUGAGUGGAAAGGCCAAUAUAUUCAUAAAAAAUCUUGUGCCAAAUAUUGAUGGCAAGAGCUUGAGUGAUAUGUUUGGUCAGUAUGGCACUAUACUAUCAUGCAAAGUGGCCACUCACUUUAAUGGUCAAUCAAAAGGGUACGGAUUUGUUCAGUUUGCGGACGAGACAUCUGCCAAUGAUGCCAUCGACAGCUUGAAUGGCAAGUUGGUGAAUGGCAAACGAAUUUUUGUAGGUCUCUUCAUUCGUCGGCAGGAGAGGCAGCCAAAUAUCAGCUUGAGUAAUUAUACAAAUGUAUAUGUGAAGAACUUGCCAAAGGAAUUCACUCACAAUGACCUUCUGCAAGAGUUUGGUCCAUUCGGUACAAUUACUAGCGCUGUAAUCAUGAGAGAUAAUGAUGGAAUAUCCAAAUGCUUCGGUUUCGUUAACUAUGGGGAAUCAGAAUGUGCUGUAGAAGCUGUGAAAAUUCUUAAUGGGAAGAAGAUUAAGGAUACAAUUUUGUAUGUGGGAAGAGCUCAGAAAAAGUCAGAAAGAGAAGCAGAACUGAAAGAAAACUUUGAGUGUGCGAGAAAUGAGAAAUUCAAAAAGUUUGAAGGGCUCAAUCUAUACGUGAAGAAUCUAGAUGAUAGUAUUAAUGAUCUAAAUCUUAGAGGGUUAUUUGAAGUUUUUGGUGAGAUAGGAUCAUGCAAGGUUAUGGUUGAUUCACAAGGAAGGAGCAAGGGUUAUGGCUUUGUGUCAUUUACAACUAUUGAAGCUGUCCACAAGGCUAUUGACGGGAUGAACAGGAAGAUAGUCGGCAAAAAGCCAUUGUAUGUUGGUGUAGCUCAACGCAAAGAGGAAAGACGAGCGAUGCUAGUGGCACACUUUGCUCGUAUUCAGAACACAGGAGUUCUAGCACCCGCAGUACCACAAAAUUUUGCUCCCCGUCAGUUCUACGUCGGUCCAGGAGUGCCUGGCAUGUUCCCACCACAGGUUCGUGCAGGCUUCGGGUAUCAACAAUUCCCACAACAACAUUUCAGUCCUUGGGUUCCUAGCGGCAUGACGCCAUAUACGUAUAACAUGCCGAGGCCACUACACCAUGCUUGGCGUGGUAUUCAAGACGAGAAAUUGUACCCACUGGGUGAACAGCUUGAGCCAGAAUUAGGAGGGAAGGUGACAGGGAUACUGGGUGAGGCAAUGGAAGCUCUACAAGGAAGGAAACUGGAAGAGGCCAGGGAUACUGUUGACCUCGCAACCAUACCAUCAUCAUCGACCUUGAGUGUUAGCAGAGAUGCUAUUGACCCCGCUUCGACAGCGUCGUCCUCGAGUGCUUCCGCUGACGGUGCUAACCUUGCUCCGUCACCAUCAUCCUCGAGUGCUUGA